rnacentral:rRNA from 1 species
GACGAACGCUGGCGGCGUGCCUAAUACAUGCAAGUCGAACGCACUCUCGUUUAGAUUGAAGGAGCUUGCUCCUGAUUGAUAAACAUUUGAGUGAGUGGCGGACGGGUGAGUAACACGUGGGUAACCUGCCCUAAAGUGGGGGAUAACAUUUGGAAACAGGUGCUAAUACCGCAUAAACCUAACACCGCAUGGUGUAAGGGUUGAAAGAUGGUUUCGGCUAUCACUUUAGGAUGGACCCGCGGUGCAUUAGUUAGUUGGUGAGGUAAAGGCUCACCAAGACCGUGAUGCAUAGCCGACCUGAGAGGGU